UACAGAGGGUGCGAGCGUUGUUCGGAAUCAUUGGGCGUAAAGCGCUUGUAGGCGGCCUGUCAAGUCGCGUGUGAAAUCCCCUGGCUUAACCAGGGAAGUGCGCGCGAAACUGGCGGGCUUGAGUGCCGGAGAGGGUCGCGGAAUUCCCGGUGUAGAGGUGAAAUUCGUAGAUAUCGGGAGGAACACCAGUGGCGAAGGCGGCGACCUGGACGGACACUGACGCUGAGACGCGAAAGCGUGGGGAG
rnacentral:rRNA from 1 species